GAAUGCUGACAUAAGUAACGAUAAAGCGGGUGAAAAGCCCGCUCGCCGGAAGACCAAGGGUUCCUGUCCAACGUUAAUCGGGGCAGGGUGAGUCGACCCCUAAGGCGAGGCCGAAAGGCGUAGUCGAUGGGAAACGGGUUAAUAUUCCCGUACUUGGUGUUACUGCGAAGGGGGGACGGAGAAGGCUAUGUUGGCCGGGCGACGGUUGUCCCGGUUUAAGCGUGUAGGUGUGUGUUCCAG
rnacentral:rRNA from 1 species